GCUAGUUGGUAAGGUAAUGGCUUACCAAGGCAACGAUACGUAGCCGACCUGAGAGGGUGAUCGGCCACACUGGAACUGAGACACGGUCCAGACUCCUACGGGAGGCAGCAGUAGGGAAUCUUCCGCAAUGGGCGAAAGCCUGACGGAGCAACGCCGCGUGAGUGAUGAAGGUCUUCGGAUCGUAAAACUCUGUUAUUAGGGAAGAACAAGUGCGUAGGUAACUAUGCGCACCUUGACGGUACCUAAUCAGAAAGCCACGGCUAACUACGUGCCAGCAGCCGCGGUAAUACGUAGGUGGCAAGCGUUAUCCGGAAUUAUUGGGCGUAAAGCGCGCGUAGGCGGUUUUUUAAGUCUGAUGUGAAAGCCCACGGCUCAACCGUGGAGGGUCAUUGGAAACUGGAAAACUUGAGUGCAGAAGAGGAAAGUGGAAUUCCAUGUGUAGCGGUGAAAUGCGCAGAGAUAUGGAGGAACACCAGUGGCGAAGGCGACUUUCUGGUCUGCAACUGACGCUGAUGUGCGAAAGCGUGGGGAUCAAACAGGAUUAGAUACCCUGGUAGUCCACGCCGUAAACGAUGAGUGCUAAGUGUUAGGGGGUUUCCGCCCCUUAGUGCUGCAGCUAACGCAUUAAGCACUCCGCCUGGGGAGUACGGCCGCAAGGCUGAAACUCAAAGGAAUUGACGGGGACCCGCACAAGCGGUGGAGCAUGUGGUUUAAUUCGAAGCAACGCGAAGAACCUUACCAAAUCUUGACAUCCUUUGACCGCUCUAGAGAUAGAGUCUUCCCCUUCGGGGGACAAAGUGACAGGUGGUGCAUGGUUGUCGUCAGCUCGUGUCGUGAGAUGUUGGGUUAAGUCCCGCAACGAGCGCAACCCUUAAGCUUAGUUGCCAGCAUUAAGUUGGGCACUCUAAGUUGACUGCCGGUGACAAACCGGAGGAAGGUGGGGAUGACGUCAAAUCAUCAUGCCCCUUAUGAUUUGGGCUACACACGUGCUACAAUGGACAGUACAAAGGGCAGCGAAACCGCGAGGUCAAGCAAAUCCCAUAAAGCUGUUCUCAGUUCGGAUUGUAGUCUGCAACUCGACUACAUGAAGCUGGAAUCGCUAGUAAUCGUAGAUCAGCAUGCUACGGUGAAUACGUUCCCGGGUCUUGUACACACCGCCCGUCACACCACGAGAGUUCGUAACACCCGAAGCCGGUGGAGUAACCUUUUAGGAGCUAGCCGUCGAAG
rnacentral:rRNA from 1 species